rnacentral:rRNA from 1 species
GAUGAACGCUGGCGGCGUGCCUAACACAUGCAAGUCGAGCGAACACACCAGCAGUUCGCUCCGUCGACGGUGGCGGCGGGCGGGUGAGUAACGCGUAGGUAACCUACCUCUAUGACUGGGAGGACUUCGGGAAACAGGAUCUGCUACCGCCUAAUAUUUCGAACCGCAUGGUUCGAGAGUGAGAGAAGCCUUGGCUGUUACUUUUAGACGGACCUGCGCCGGAUUAGCAAGUUGGUAAGGGAACGGCUCACCAAGGCAACGAGUCGUAGCCGACCUGAGCGGGUUGUCGGCCACACUGGAGCUUAUGCACGGUCCAGGCUCCUGCGGGAGGCAGCAGUGGGGAUUGUUGCACACUGGGCGCAAGCCUGACGCAGCGACACCGCGUGGGUGACGAAGGUCUUCGGAUCGUAAACCUCUGUUAGUAGGGAAGAAGAAUUGCGGACGAAGCUGUGCAGGCCUUGACGGUACCCAAUCAGAAAGCGACGGCUAACUUCGUG